rnacentral:rRNA from 1 species
GACGAACGCUGGCGGCGUGCUUAACACAUGCAAGUCGAACGGAAAGGCCCUGCUUUUGUGGGGUGCUCGAGUGGCGAACGGGUGAGUAACACGUGAGUAACCUGCCCUUGACUUUGGGAUAACUUCAGGAAACUGGGGCUAAUACCGGAUAGGAGCUCCUGCCGCAUGGUGGGGGUUGGAAAGUUUCGGCGGUUGGGGAUGGACUCGCGGCUUAUCAGCUUGUUGGUGGGGUAGUGGCUUACCAAGGCUUUGACGGGUAGCCGGCCUGAGAGGGUGACCGGCCACAUUGGGACUGAGAUACGGCCCAGACUCCUACGGGAGGCAGCAGUGGGGAAUAUUGCACAAUGGGCGGAAGCCUGAUGCAGCAACGCCGCGUGCGGGAUGACGGCCUUCGGGUUGUAAACCGCUUUCGCCUGUGACGAAGCGUGAGUGACGGUAAUGGGUAAAGAAGCACCGGCUAACUACGUGCCAGCAGCCGCGGUGAUACGUAGGGUGCGAGCGUUGUCCGGAUUUAUUGGGCGUAAAGGGCUCGUAGGUGGUUGAUCGCGUCGGAAGUGUAAUCUUGGGGCUUAACCCUGGGCGUGCUUUCGAUACGGGUUGACUUGAGGAAGGUAGGGGAGAAUGGAAUUCCUGGUGGAGCGGUGGAAUGCGCAGAUAUCAGGAGGAACACCAGUGGCGAAGGCGGUUCUCUGGGCCUUUCCUGACGCUGAGGAGCGAAAGCGUGGGGAGCGAACAGGCUUAGAUACCCUGGUAGUCCACGCUGUAAACGGUGGGUACUAGGUGUGGGGUCCAUUCCACGGGUUCCGUGCCGUAGUUAACGCUUUAAGUACCCCGCCUGGGGAGUACGGCCGCAAGGCUAAAACUCAAAGGAAUUGACGGGGCCCCGCACAAGCGGCGGAGCAUGCGGAUUAAUUCGAUGCAACGCGUAGAACCUUACCUGGGUUUGACAUGGAUCGGGAGCGCUCAGAGAUGGGUGUGCCUCUUUUGGGGUCGGUUCACAGGUGGUGCAUGGCUGUCGUCAGCUCGUGUCGUGAGAUGUUGGGUUAAGUCCCGCAACGAGCGCAACCCUUGUUCACUGUUGCCAGCACGUUAUGGUGGGGACUCAGUGGAGACCGCCGGGGUCAACUCGGAGGAAGGUGGGGAUGACGUCAAGUCAUCAUGCCCCUUAUGUCCAGGGCUUCACGCAUGCUACAAUGGCAGGUACAGAGAGUGGCGAGCCUGUGAGGGUGAGCGAAUCUCGGAAAGCCGGUCUCAGUUCGGAUUGGGGUCUGCAACUCGACCUCAUGAAGUCGGAGUCGCUAGUAAUCGCAGAUCAGCAACGCUGCGGUGAAUACGUUCCCGGG